rnacentral:rRNA from 1 species
UACGUAGGGUGCAAGCGUUGUCCGGAAUUAUUGGGCGUAAAGGGCUCGUAGGCGGUCUGUCACGUCGGGAGUGAAAACUCAGGGCUUAACCCUGAGCCUGCUUCCGAUACGGGCAGACUAGAGGUAUGCAGGGGAGAACGGAAUUCCUGGUGUAGCGGUGAAAUGCGCAGAUAUCAGGAGGAACACCGGUGGCGAAGGCGGCCUGCUGGGCAGUUUGGCUGACACUGAGGCGCGACAGCGUGGGGAGCAAACAGG